rnacentral:rRNA from 1 species
CCUACGGGAGGCAGCAGUGGGGAAUAUUGGACAAUGGGCGAAACCCUGACCCAGCGACGCCGCGUGAAUGAAGAAGUCUUUCGGGAUGUAAAGCUCUUUCAGCAGGGAAGAAAAUGACGGUACCUGACUAAGAAGCCCCGGCUAACUACGUGCCAGCAGCCGCGGUACUACGUAGGGGGCAGCCGUUAUCCGGAUUGACGGGGUGUAAAGGGAGCGUAGACGGCGGCGCAAGUCUGGAGUGAAAUGCCGGGGCGCAACCCCGGAACUGCAAUUGAAACUGUGAGGCUUGAGUGCAGGAGAGGUAAGCGGAAUUCGUGGUGUAGCGGUGAAAUGCGUAGAUAUCAGGAGGAACACCGGCGGCGAAGGCGGCUUACUGGACUGUAACUGACGUUGAGGCGCGAAGGCGUGGGGAGCAAACAGGAUUAGAUACCCUUGUAGUC